GAUGAACGCUGGCGGCGUGCCUAAUACAUGCAAUUCGAGCGAAGCGCGGUCGGGUGAGUAACACUUGGAUAACCUCCUAUAAGCCUUGGAUAACUUCGGGAAACCGGAGCUAAACCGGGUCCUUAUAGAUUCAACCGCGCUGCAUUAGCUCGUUGGUCAGGUAACGGCUUACCAAGGCAACGAUGCAUAGCCGACCUGAGAGGGUGAUCGGGCCCCCUGGAUGUGGGACACGGUCCAGACUCCUACGGGAGGCAGCAGUUGGGAAGCUUCCUAAAUGGGCGAAAGCCUGACGGAGCAACGCCCCGUGACAGAUGAAGGUCUUCUGAUCGUAAAACUCUGUUAUUAGGGAAGCGGUACCUAAUCAGAAAGCCACGGCUAACUACGUGCCAGCAGCCGCGGUAAUUC
rnacentral:rRNA from 1 species